AUCAUUUGACGUUAGCUGCAGAAGAAGCACCGGCUAACUCCGUGCCAGCAGCCGCGGUAAUACGGAGGGUGCGAGCGUUAAUCGGAAUUACUGGGACGUAAAGCGCAUGCAGGUGGUUUAGUUAAGUACAGAUGUAGAAACGGACCCGGGGCCGUACCUAAACCCGUACGGGUAAAUUUGCUAUUUUAGAAAACGUGGACAAACUAGAGUACUGUAGAGGGGGUAGGAAUUUCAGGUGUAGCGGUGAAAUGCGUAGAGAUCUGAAGGAAUACCGGUGGCGAAGGCGGCCCCCUGGACAGAUACUGACACUCAGAUGCGAAAGCGUGGGGAGCAAACAGGAUUAGAUACCCUGGUAG
rnacentral:rRNA from 1 species